rnacentral:rRNA from 1 species
UACGAAGGGGGCUAGCGUUGUUCGGAAUCACUGGGCGUAAAGGGCGCGUAGGCGGCCUGGCAAGUCGGGGGUGAAAGCCUGUGGCUCAACCACAGAAUUGCCUUCGAUACUGUAGAGCUUGAGACCGGAAGAGGUAAGUGGAACUGCGAGUGUAGAGGUGAAAUUCGUAGAUAUUCGCAAGAACACCAGUGGCGAAGGCGGCUUACUGGUCCGGUUCUGACGCUGAGGCGCGAAAGCGUGGGGAGCAAACAGG